rnacentral:rRNA from 1 species
AUGAACGCUGGCGGCGUGCCUAAUACAUGCAAGUCGAGCGAACAGACGAGGAGCUUGCUCCUUUGACGUUAGCGGCGGACGGGUGAGUAACACGUGGAUAACCUACCUAUAAGACUGGGAUAACUUCGGGAAACCGGAGCUAAUACCGGAUAACAUGUUGAACCGCAUGGUUCAACAGUGAAAGACGGUCUUGCUGUCACUUAUAGAUGGAUCCGCGCCGCAUUGGCUAGUUGGUAAGGUAACGGCUUACCAAGGCAACGAUGCGUAGCCGACCUGAGAGGGUGAUCGGCCACACUGGAACUGAGACACGGUCCAGACUCCUACGGGAGGCAGCAGUAGGGAAUCUUCCGCAAUGGGCGAAAGCCUGACGGAGCAACGCCGCGUGAGUGAAGAAGGUCUUCGGAUCGUAAAACUCUGUUAUUAGGGAAGAACAAAUGUGUAAGUAACUAUGCACGUCUUGACGGUACCUAAUCAGAAAGCCACGGCUAACUACGUG